rnacentral:lncRNA from 1 species
AUGUGUCUGUCACAGUGGAUAUUUGGUCCAAUAGAAAAAUUAGGUUUUCUUGGUGUAACUGCACACUUUGAGACAACUGAUGAGAAGAUCAAACUUAACUCCAGUUUACUGGCUUGCAACCGUUUCAAAGCCCCACACACAGCUGAAAGAAUAAGUGAGCAAUUUGAAUCAAUCUGUGAUGAUUUUAACAUUAAAGAUAAAUUAGACUAUAUUAUUAGUGAUAAUGCAGCCAACAUGAAGAAGGCCUUCACUGUGUGCUUCCCCACUGAACAAGAACAAGACAUACAUGAUGAGGACCAACUUGAUGAUCCACAGAUCUGGAAUGACCUAAGCCCAGAGGAGCAGCAAUCCUUGGAUGCUGCUAUUGCAAGAAAACAGCAUCUUCAGUGCUUUGCCCACACUCUCCAGCUGGUGGUGGGUGACGGUUUAAAAGAAACAAAUGCAAUUUCAUGUGCUCUCUCAAAACUGUCCAAAAUCAGCUCAUUGCUUCACACAAGCACAACAUUCAAAGAAGUCUUUCAGUCUGAAUUUGGAGAGAAGAGCAUUCCAGCUGCUGUUAAUACAAGAUGGAACUCAACACUGAGACAGGUAAAAGCACUAAUAGAAUGUGAUCAUCCAAAGGUUUGUGGUGUUCUGGAAAAGUCUGGACAUAAGGAGCUGUUGUUCACAUCAAGGGAGUGGAAUCAGUUGAAGGAGGUGGUGGACAUUUUGAAGCCGUUUGCAGAGGCAACAGAUCUGACACGGGGAAAAAACGGUCAUCAUCAGUGCUGUUGUUCCAUCGGUUCUUGCUCUAAAUCACCACUUGGAGAAGCUGAAGUCACAGGUCUGCUUCUUAAGUGGCCUAGUCAGAAGUUUGCAAGCAUCCCUCGUCAAAAGAUUCCUUGGAAUAUUCAUCAGUGUAAAAAUGGCAAGUGCGAAAGACGAAACCCCUGCACCAUUUUCAGACCCAGUCUAUCUAAAAGCGGCUGUCUUGGAUCCAGCGUUUUCACUGCAGUGGCUAGAGCACCAUGUGCUGGUCAGUCCUGA